AGCUCCUUUGCCAAAAGUGUCUGUAAAUUUGCUUUAAGAGUGUAAUGCUGUAACGUAGUUUUAUUUAUUACGUACUGCUAACACAAUGAAAGCUGAGGCGUUACAUGAUAGUUCAAAAUUAUCAGAUUUUUAUAACUGCAAGAAGUUCCCGAAGAUGCUGUUAAUGUCCUAAAAGGGUAAAGGCAAAGCAAGUAUUUUAGCAUCAGGUUGUUAUUUGAAAAAAAAAAAAAAAAAAUCCAAAUUCUGCACUUCUAAUAUUUGCUAAAUGGAAUAGAAGACAUGGAAUCUCUUGGACCAGCUCAGAAUAAACAGCCCAUUAUAGUGUGUAUUACAAGUUCAUUCUAUAUUUAAAGCAGUAAAUCAC